rnacentral:rRNA from 1 species
GAUGAACGCUAGCGGCAGGCUUAACACAUGCAAGUCGAGGGGCAGCGUGGAGCAGCAAUGCUCUGACGGCGACCGGCGGAAGGGUGCGUAACACGUGAGCGACUUGCCCGUCACAGGGGGAUAACCGGCGGAAACGGCGACUAAUACCCCAUACGAUGCGAUGCUGCAUGGCAUUGCAUUGAAAGAUUCAUCGGUGGCGGAUAGGCUCGCGGGACAUUAGCUAGACGGCGGGGCAACGGCCCACCGUGGCGACGAUGUCUAGGGGUUCUGAGAGGAAGGCCCCCCACACUGGGACUGAGACACGGCCCAAACUCCUACGGGAGGCAGCAGUGGGGAAUAUUGCACAAUGGGGAAACCCUGAUGCAGCGACGCCGCGUGAGCGAAGAAGUAUUCGGUAUGUAAAACUCUAUCAGACAGGGAAGAAGAAUGACGGUACCUAGACUAAGAAGCACCGGCUAAA